GACAUAUAAGUGCAAGCUAUUCUCUAAUUCAGCUUUCAAGGAGUUCAAACACCACGACUUUCUAUAGAAACGUGCAAGAUGUCUUAUUGCAGUCUUUUUCACGCCGCAGUUUACAUUACGGACAAUGCUUCAAAAGGAACUUGGCGUCAUCAACGCCACUUUAGACGAUGGUAUUCGUAUCAUAUUGGAAUAUCCUGACUAUUAUACAGGCUUGUGGAAGUUCCUGAACAGUUUGAACAACUCCAAUGUUGUCAAAAACUACGUCAUGUGGACUUACAUUCAAUCAUUGGUUGAGGCUGAAGGAACGCCCCUACACGACCUUUAUUUGACGUAUAAAUUGAAUGCGACCAACAUGGCACGCUCAUCAUCGAGGAAUCAGGUCGCAGCUUCUUGCAUCAAACAACUACUGAAGCCGGACAAGAUGCUCAGUGCGGGAGCGAGCUUGUAUAUUAAGCACAGUUUCAACAAGUACGACAGGAAUAACGUGCAGAAGAUGAUGUACUUCAUCAAGGCAUCAUUCGGAAAGAUCAUCGCCGAAAACAAGUGGAUGUCGGACUCGACGAAGACCAAGGCUGCCGAGCGACUGGCCAAAAUGGAAACAGUGAUUGGUUAUCCUGACUGGAUGUUGGAGAACCUUGUAGUGAACGAGCUGUACAAAUUUGUUCCAUUACUCAGUGAAAAUUCAUCGUUUGCUGAGCAUAUGUUUUGGAUUCAAGAAAACCAUCGCUACCAGGAGCUCCUAAAGCUCAGGCCACAAUACAAAGAAACAGAGUUUUCGGCCGUCGCCUUUUUUUCUCAUCCCUACUACAUUGAACGGAGCGAUACCCUCGUUCUGCCGGCGGCGGUGGUUGUGCCACACUAUAGGAGACCACCAGCGCCAAGAGCUUUGAACUUUGGAACUGUUGGAGCACUCGCCUCAAUGCUGAUUGUUAACGUUAUUGACAGGUUUGACACAAUCAGGAUAACCGAUGACAAAGUUCGAUUCGGCGGUAAAAUAGUCAUCAAGGACUCCUGGGAUGAGGAUACUAAGCGAAGAUUCUGUAAAUAUUCUGGUUGCCUGAAGAACGAGGUGUGCAAGGACUAUGAGUCCUUGCACCGGGGCGCCCGUGCUCGUCUGCAAGGCUUCCCGAACAGCUUUGUGCACUUAUUCGAUACCAGGGGUGCCUGCAUGUGUGGAAGCCCAGUUGGCCGUGAAAGCUGUUCUUUUGAAAUAUGUUGACACUCAAGGUGAGGCCCACUUCAGUGACUACGUCGGACUGCGCGCGUCGUUUAUGGCAUUAAAGGACAGCGUUGGAAA
rnacentral:misc_RNA from 1 species